rnacentral:rRNA from 1 species
UACAGAGGGUGCGAGCGUUAAUCGGAAUUACUGGGCGUAAAGCGUGCGUAGGCGGCUAUCUAAGUCGGGUGUGAAAGCCCCGGGCUCAACCUGGGAAUUGCAUUCGAGACUGAAUAGCUAGGGUGCGGUAGAGGGAAGCGGAAUUUCCGGUGUAGCGGUGAAAUGCGUAGAUAUCGGAAGGAACAUCAGUGGCGAAAGCGGCUUCCUGGACCAGCACCGACGUUCAGGCACGAAAGCGUGGGGAGCAAACAGG